UCUGCUCCCCGCGGUGCCUUCCCUCAGGCUGCCGCGGCGGCGCUCGCCCAACACCUCCAUCCGGGUCCUCGCCGCAGCUCCUCUCCCGGGCGGCGCCGGCGGGAAGCUGCGGGCGCAAGCGGGGGCUAAGCCCACUCCCGGCUGCGGCGGCGGGCGGAGGCCUUUUCCUGAGCCUGAGGUCCUCCCUCAUGAUUGGGUCAGUGGAUGGUGAUCAGGAGUCCUGGUGAUGCAGUGGUUAGAGUGCUUGCUGCUAACUGAAAGGCUGGGAGCCAUUGAUGGGUCAUAAAAUCAACUUGUGUAUAAUAAAAUAGAAAAAACUAGAGUAAAGGGGAACAACGAUUACCAAGGAGAAAGCCUUCCUGUGGUGCUCAGCUGGUGGUCCCCUUUGCAACCUUCAUCCUUGAAGUUCUCUUCACUGCGGGAUGAGGUAGUAGGUUGUAUAGUUUUAGGGUCACACCCACCACUGGGAGAUAACUAUACAAUCUACUGUCUUUCCUAACGUGAUAGAAAAGUCUGCAUCUGGGCUGCCUCAUUGAAAGUCGAUGAUGAAUUGUACAGUAUUUAAGAUUAACUUGUGUUAAAUAGUUGUUGUACAACAUUUCUUUAUAAUGUGCAGGUUAAUUGUUUAUUCUUCUAGAGAUUAAAAAAACAAAUCUUUAGCAAGUAGACUGGAUGUGGGUAAGGAUAUUUUUUUCUUGUCUCAUUUCUUUAUGUCAGAGUAACUGUAUAUUUUAUUUUGAUUGAUACUGAUAAUUUUAUGUUGAAUUUUCUUUCAAAAGAGAUUGUGUUCUCCAU